rnacentral:lncRNA from 1 species
GUGACACGUUAAAUGAGUCAGGAAUGUGGGCGCGCUUAUUUUCUUGAGCAAGUGUAGGCACUUACUGCCUAUUCAAUAGGCAGAGCCCUUGGACAAAGCCUUUCAUGUCAAGAUGUUGGGUGUGGAGAUGGAGAGCCCCCCGCACUGGCUUUGUGUGGCAAGAAACCGGUGUAAGCAGCUAUUAGCUUCCACCGUCGAAGAGCAGAUCGUAACCUGGGCCCGGGCGACAUCUGAGGAAGAGCUGAUGGAAGAAUUCUGCAACUCCCCUUGGACAGAGGACGGCCCACCCCACCUCCCGUCAUGUGCCCGUAAAUCAGUGCUUCACACAGCUUGAAGCAUCAGGUGGCUUUGACGUCUGGCGGAUGUUUCGUGACGCUGGGCACGGCGCUGGGCACCACGGCGCUUGCCAAGGUGGACGGGUCCCUGCUUCCGUGGAGCUUACGGUCUCACCAAAGGGCCCAGAACCCUGACGAAACAGCGACGUGCUUCGCUGAGUGGGGGAGACCAAAGUGCCGCGGAGCGAAGGGGAGAAGGGCCGACAGGCGCCGGCGUCCUCAAGAAAGCCCGGAAGGAGGAGGACUCCAGUGACGUAACCAUGGAAAGAAUGACAGAAUUGCUGUGGGUUUCUGAAAGAGCCACCACCUGAGCUGUGGCGGAGAACUCUGCUCCAGCACCAGCACAUACCAUGGGUACCUGGACCAAAGCACAGUGACGCUUGUGUGACUCGUUAGCAAUAGAUGCUAGAGUGCAAAAGGCUAUUAACGAUGCCUUUUUAUAAGAGAAAAACUUUAAUAUAAAUUUGAUUUUUUUUUUUUUUUUUGGCCGCACCCAUGGCAUGUGGAAGUUCCCGGACCGGGGACUGAACCUGUGCCACGUGGUGACAACACCGGAUCCUUAACCCGCUGCGCCAGACGAGAACUCCUAAAUUUGUAGAUACUUAAAAUCAACUCUGCUCUAGCCGACGUCUCUGAAGAAUGAACAAAGGACUAAGGGUGAUUUGUGGAGUGGUUUUAGUGCAGGCAGCAUGUGGCCUCAUCGUCCUUACGUGGUCCAGGCUGGGCUCUCCACAGGAGGGCGGGGGCCGGUGCGCAGAACCCGGCCUCUGUCUUUGUCUGUAGCAAUGCUGGAUCCUUAACCCACUGUGCUGGACUGGGGAUUGAACUGGCAACAACCACAGAGACAAACUGGAUCAUUAACCCAUUUUGUCACAGUGGGAACUCCCUACAUUCCUUUUUUUUCCUUUUCUUUCUUUCUUUUUUUUUUUUUCAGAGCCACACUCAAGGCACAUGGAAGUUCCCAGGGGUCAAAUUGAAGCUGCAACUGCAGGCCUUCUCCACUGCCCUAUGCCACAGCCACAGCAAUGCCAGAUCCAAGCCGCAUCUCCGACCUACACCACAGAUUGUGGCAACCCUGGAUCCUUAACCUGCUGCGCCACCAGGGGACAUCCAGGAAUUAUCAUCUGGCUCAUUUUAUAGAAACGGAAACUGAGGCGCAGGGCAAGGGCCUUCCCACAUUCAGAGAGCUCAGCUUUCUUGACCCAGAUUAGUGGGGUUUUUUGUUUUUUGGUAGGGCCGCACCCGUGGCAUAUGGAGGUUCCCAGGCUGGGGGUCCAAUCGGAGCUGUAGCUGCCGGCCUACACCACAGUCACAGCAAUGCCAGAUCCAAGCCGCAUCUGCAACCUACACCACAGCUCAUGGCAAUGCCAGAUCCUUAGCCCGCUGAGCGAGGCCAGGGGUCAAACCUGCAACCUCCUGGAUUCGUUUCCACUGCGCCACUGUGGGAAUUCCAACCCAGGUUAAUGUUGUGUCUGCCACUCCAUAGUCCUGCCUGAAAUUUACCACAGUAAGCUCUUCAGGACUCUGUCACCAUUUGGUUGGAAGGAUUUUCACUGAAGGAAGAUGCUUCACAGGUGCUGGUGGUACGGGCACCCGUUGAACGGGACGGUCAGGCGCCUGCCCUUGGGAAAUCCGCAGUGGGAUGUGGGAGGAGUUCACCACGAGCGACCAGACAAAUAAGCUACUCGCUAGGUGCGACGCGUGCCACGGGGAGAAUAAACAUGGCUCAGCAGUGGCGGUUUGGGUACUUGCUUCAACCUUUCAUCGCCAGAGUCCUCAAAGGACAAGAGAAGCUUUUGUGACUUUAUCCUGCGACUGCCCUCGUCGAGGGCCGACCUCUGCCGCGGCCUCCACACAUCUGUCCAUCAGCUCAUGGCAUCCUCUGCGCUAAGCACGGGCUUGCUGCCGGCCGCACCGGGGCGUGUGGAGGCGGGCCCGCCCCCGUGAAGCCUGCCAGGGAAGCGAGGAAGACCAAGGCCGGAGCACGGGGCGUUUUACAGGAGCGGUGGCGGAGCUCUGUGGACGGGAACCGAGGUGCGAGGAUCGACUGGGUGGUAGUGGGGGGCGGUGCCCUUCACAGAGGACGUGGCGUCGGCCCUUCAAGUAUAAACAGAUAGGAAUUCCCAAGAACGAGGUGCUGUGGCCGGGAAGGAGAGCCAGGUCCACAUCCCAGAAAGGCCUAGGAAGCAGUUUAGCUCGACCCCGGGACAAUCAGAGGCCUUGAGCGUUUGGUUUUGCCUUUCGGUUUGGGGAUGACAUGAUCAGACUCGCACUUUGGAGAGGAGUCCUUUGGUCGCCAGGGGAGAACACACUGGGUAAUUUCCAUUCCCCUGAGAGGCGGUGCACAAUCUGAACAUAAGUGCAGGCUGGCCUAGGAGAGGCCACAUAGAGUCGGGGUUCAUUAACGUGAGUGUCAUAAGACGCUCCUAAAACUUCGUAAGCAAGGAGAAAGAGGAUGGCUGUGUGAAAAACGGAAUUGAAAGGUGUCCGAGGAGUUCCCGUCGUGGCGCAGUGGUAACGAGUCCGACUAGGAACCUUGAGGCUGUGAGUUCAAUCCCUGGCCUCACUCAGAGGGUUAAGGAUCCGACGUGGCUGAGUCUGCGGCUGUGGUGUAGGCUGGCAGCUAUAGCUCUGAUUCGACUCCCAGCCUGGGAACCUCUGUAUGGCACGUGUGUGGCCCUAAAAAGACAAAAAAAAAAAAAAAAAAAAAA